CAGCAGAGUCCACUCAGAACAGCUGCUGGGUAUCUUCUCCCAAGCCUGGGGCCUCCCAUCAGGGCUGACAGGGAAUGGCUUGGAAUGGGGACACCACCUGGGCGAUGGGAAGAGGCCAGGAAUGCUCCUGGGGCUGGUUGGAGAGGCAGCUGCCACCAGUCCCUGUGGCACCUCAUAACCAGUCCCUCAGAAAGGGGUACCUCCAAGAACUGCCAGGAGAAGGACGGAAUAUGAUGCUGGAACAGCGGGACAGUGACUGGCUGAAGAAGACGGGAUGACUCCUUGAUCAGGUCACAAGCUAUUCAAGAUGGGAACAGAAGAGGCAAAGUCACCCUAUCCAAAGGGCCAAAACAGAUGGCAGCAGACACCCCUAUAAA